AGAGUUUGAUCAUGGCUCAGAAUUAACGCUGGCAGAGUGCAUAACACAUGCAAGUCGAGCGGGGAUAUCUGCGAUUACAUCAAGGGUAUUCUAGCGGCAGACGGGUGAGUAACACGUAAGGAAUCUGCCCUCGAGAGGGGAAUAACCCGGCGAAAGCCGGGCUAAUGCCCCGUAGUAUAGGGUUUCGGCAUCGGGGCCCU
rnacentral:rRNA from 1 species